UCAGGUGAACUACUGUCACAGAACUGGGCCUGAUGUACCUGCAGAGAUAAAGAAGUGCUGCUCGGUCGGUAGACAGUUUGGAGGAUCCUUCUUCAUCGAUGUGGAGACACUGACUGAAGUCCAGCUGGUGUUUCUGUUCCCUCAACACAACAACACGAUGCGAGAAGUUCAGCUGAACAAUGAGACGUGCAGGAACGAACACAAGCACAGGAUAAGGAUGUGCAAAUGAAAGAUGAACUAAAAGAAAUGUAAAGUUUCAACAUCCCUGAAUACAACGUUUGCUCUUUACUGCGAUUGAGCUGAGUUGGGUAAACUGAUCUCAGUUCCUGUUGGUCUGCUGAACUCACCAGAAGCAGCAGGAGGCCGACUG